UACAGAGGGGGCGAGCGUUGUUCGGAAUUACUGGGCGUAAAGGGCGCGUAGGUGGCCUGUUAAGUCGAACGUGAAAUCCCCGGGCUCAACCCGGGAACUGCGUCCGAGACUGGCAGGCUUGAAUCCGGGAGAGGGAUGUGGAAUUCCAGGUGUAGCGGUGAAAUGCGUAGAUAUCUGGAGGAACACCGGUGGCGAAGGCGGCAUCCUGGACCGGUAUUGACGCUGAGGCGCGAAAGCCAGGGGAGCAAACGGG
rnacentral:rRNA from 2 species